rnacentral:rRNA from 1 species
CAGCCGCCGCGGUAACACGUAGGGUGCGAGCGUUAAUCGGAUUUACUGGGCGUAAAGCGUGCGCAGGCGGCCCGUUAAGACAGGUGUGAAAUCCCUGGGCUCAACCUAGGAAUUGCGCUUGUGACUGGCGGGCUCGAGUACGGUAGAGGGGGGUGGAAUUCCUGGUGUAGCAGUGAAAUGCGUAGAGAUCAGGAGGAACACCGAUGGCGAAGGCAGCCCCCUGGGCCUGUACUGACGCGCAUGCACGAAAGCGUGGGGAGCAAACAGGAUUAGAUACCCGGGUAGUCCACGCCCUAAACGAUGGGUACUAGCCGGUUGGUGCGCGAUAGCGCUGAGUGGCGAAGCUAACGCGUGAAGUACCCCGCCUGGGGAGUACGGCCGCAAGGUUGAAACUUAAAGGAAUUGGCGGG